rnacentral:lncRNA from 1 species
AGGCCCUUGUCAAGACUUUGGCAACCAGGCAGUCGUCUGGGCAAGGUCAGCGGAGCCCUGACUUCCCCGUGCUGUGGAGGCUGCUCCUGGUGUUGGAGGAAGGCAGCUUGAAAGGGGCAAGGCUGGGAGUGGCCGCUGUGGCCUCUGGGAGGCAAGAGCCGUCCCCGCUGCCCGGCUGUGAUGUGGGCAGUCCCCAGAGGAUCUGGGGGUCCCAGAAGGGUUAGGCUGGCGUUUGGUCGUCUCUGGGCAUGUGUUUUUAAAUGUAGUGAGGUUGCAUAGUGGACUCUGUGAGUCAUGAGUUCUUUAACGCCCCCGAAGUGGUGUAAUCUCAGCAGUCGGGUUCUCAUCUUCUCGAGACCUCGUUUCCAGGGUGGUGUCGCGGGACCCUAGAGCUGGGAAGGCCCAGGUGUCCCUCUGUCCCUCCCGUGUUUGCUGAGCAUCUGCAGUGAAGGAUGAGGAUCUCGAGGCCCAGACUGCACGGCUGCAGAGGGAGUGAGCGGCAGAGGCCGGGCCUCCCACUCUGGCUCACCCCUCACCCCACCCGGCCCCCGAGAGGGGCACGGAGCCAGCCAGGGGCGUGGGAAGGCGCUUGCACCUGCCGGCCGCCUUUGACCUGCUCAGUGCUGGGCCUCAGAUGCCCGUUCACCUUUUAGCCAGGUUUCAGCCUGGAAGAAUUGAGGAAAUGCCUCUUUUUUUUUUUUUUUUUUUUUUUACUGUUUCUUGAGAUUUUUAUUAAGGUUGUCUGGAGUAUAUUCCUCUUUUAAACGUUUUUUGUUUUUUUUUUUCAAAGAAAAAGUUUCUUUGCAUCAGUUCAUCUCAGGUGGCAAAGCAUGGACUCAGCUGUAGUGGCAAAGGGUGCUCCCUCCCCUCCUCCUCUGAUCCCUGUCACACCCGGAGAACUGAGAACGGUUUACAGAUGUGCCAGCAAAGCCCCAUCUUCCCUGCCCCCGAAAGGGCUCUGCUGAGUAAUGCUGGCCGCCUUAUCUUGGGCCGGGCCUGCUGGGUCCGAGGGAGGGGAGCUCCUGCAGGAAACCUGCUCGGGAAGCCGGAAGUAAGCCAGCAGGUCUCAGCCUGCUGCCGGCCUCCGCCGCCUUCCUGGGGGAGAGUCUGGCGGGGGCAGCUCGCGGCCGCCUGCGCCCUCUCGCCGGCCGGGCCUCGGGUGGGCGUUGCGCUGGCUGCCGGAGGAGGCGUGUGACCUUUUGCAAAAGUCACUCUGACUCGGAAGAGGUUUCCACGCCACGUGCGGGUCGCCUCUUUUGUCCUCGGCUCUCCCUCUGGACAGCGGAUGACAGAGUGGCCCUGGCACCCUUGACGCCGGGAAGGACGUGAGCCCCGGAGCCGGGGAGCGCGGGCCUUUAGGGGGAAGGUCGUCCUUAAGGGUGCGCGGUGCGGCCUGUGCUCCGUUUCCUCUGCGGGCAUCCGGGCAGCGGAGAGGAAGCCGCCGGCCCGGGUGGGGCCGCAGGUCAAGCGUGCAGGGGCCUGGGCCCGGGACCCUCCCAGAGCCCCCUGCCCGGCGGGCGGAUGAGGCGGCCUGAGCUGUUGGCUGGAACUUUGCAGCCCUGGCGGCGGAGACGAACAUCCGGCCUGGCAGCGCUGCCAUACGGAGGCCAGCACUCGGAAGGGCUGAGCGGCCGUGGUCACUGCCCCCGCGGGCGCCGGCCCGGCCCGACCCCUCGCUCUCGCCCUCGCUCGGUCUCACCUGGGGACCCGACCCCGAGCGCUUGGCCUGAGCUCGCCUGCGUCCUGGGCUUCCUUUUAACGGCCUCGUCGAGGUGUACGUUCCGUGCUGUAAAGCCGCCGUGCUUCAAGCGUCCAAUUAAGUGAUUUUUUUUAGCAAAAUUACAGGGUUGCGUGACCGUCCCUGCGGCUUAGGUGGGAACGUGGCCGUCAUCCUGGAAGGGACCCUCGUGCCGUUUUCACCCUGUUCCCACCCCUCCGCGGGUGACCCCUGAUUUGUUCUCUGCCUCUGCGGAUGUGCCUGUUGUGGGCAUUUCUCGCGGCACCCGAGUGGGAUCACCGCACGUGGUCUUUCGUGGCUGGUCCACCCGGGCUGCCCCUUGUAUCUGCGGUUCCUUGGUGCCUUGAUGGUCUGUCGUGUGAUGUCCCCGUCCUCUCUCGUGACCUCUGGCUCCUUCCUGCUUUUCACUGAUCCUGGGAGGUGCUGCCGUGACCCAGCCUUUUCCAGCAGGGAGCGGCCCCUUUCUGCCCCUGUCCCGCCUGCCUUCCCUGACUGUCGUGGGCCAGGCCCUGCGACGGAGGCCAGAGUGAGGGGGCUCAGCAGGGUCGUUGGGAGGGUGCAUAGGAGUUUCCAAGGAGAAAGGAGGGGAGGUGGUGGCUCAGGAAGGAGGAACGGCAUGUGCAAAGGCACAGAGGCGCGAGCAGAGGAGCUGUUCCCGGCCGCCGCCGCCGCCGCCAGUGGCUGCCCACCACGGCCUCUUCUCCGGAUGCUGGGAAAGCUGGACUGGUGUCCGGAACUUUUGAUGGUUUGGGGGGUGCUGUUCGCUCCGUACAUGAGGGCUGGGAUCAGCUCUGAAGCCUUCGAGGGGGGUUGAGGCCGCUGCCGGGCCAUCUGGCUUGGAAAGCUGGGUGCUGGAGCCACUCCGAGGGAACACCCCCGUCAGUGUCUUUGCAGCUGACGAGGACACUGGAAACCACAUCCUGCUCUUGCCGUGGCCGUGCCUGCGGGGGCUGAGCCCCGGCACCGCGUGCUGGUCGGGAUGUCCUCCUUUGGUGGGCUGCCUCAGCCCUGGGGCCGGUCUCCUUCCCAAGCGCGACUUCGGCGUGUGGCCCCUGCUGGUAGCCGCCGGGUCCGGUCCGGAAGAGCGGGUGGCGCGUGCUGUUCCCGACUGACUUGGCUGGAGGGCCUGCCAUUCUUUGUCUUCCUUGGGUUUGUUUUCUUUUCUGCCCAGGAUUUCUCCCAGCCGGGGCGCACCCGCGGUGUCCAGGCUGUUCCCAGGGACGGAGCCUGGGAGUGCCGAGCAGGAACAGUUGCAGCUGGAAAUUAAAACAUGGAAGCUGGGGUUCCCAUCGUGGCGCAGUGGUUAACAAAUCCAACUAGGAACCAUGAGGUUGUGGGUUCAAUCCCUGGCCUCACUCCAUGGGUUAAGGAUCCGGCGUGGCCAUGAGCUGUGGUGUAGGUUGCAGGCGCGGCUUGGAUCCCGCAUCGCUGUGGCUGUGGGGUAGGCCGGUGGCUACAGCUCCGAUUCGACCCCUAGCCUGGGACUCUCCGUAUGUCGUGGGAGCGGCCCUAGAAAAGGCAAAAAGACGAAAAAUAAAAUAAAGUGUGGAAGCUUAGGGAGAAGAGGAGGUGGUUGGCGGGUGUCCUGGCCACGUGUAAACGUGGUACUGUUUGCGUGGAGCCGCGUGGCUGUGGGCCGUGGCCACGUUCCCCUUGUCGCCAGGUUUUCUGUGCUUUGAGGACGUUUCCUUUGCUGGCGCAGGAGCCGCCGUGCACUUGCCCGGGGUGGCACGUUCGUUCCGCCCCUGCGGUUGUGCGCAUCUGUCCAGGGCUGAUGUGGCGGCUGGGGCAUGGCUUAGUUCCUUUGAGCCGUUGCUGCCGGCGACUUUGGGUCGCUGCUCGUGGAGCGUUUCAGGGUGGCGUGCAGGCUCGGCGCUCCCAGGACAGACGCGGGCGAUGGUGGGAAGAGGGGCCGUCCCGCCCCCUCUCCGACCUCUAUGGUUUGGCCUGCGUCACCUGCUCUGCUGGGGCUGGGCCGCGGACCACAGAGGGACCUGGCAGCACAGGCGGCCAUGCGUGGGUUCCGGGCUGGGACAGGCUUGGGUGAGCCUUGUGCGUCAGAGGCCCCGGGGUUUCCUCCCAGCGCUCCCUGAGUGCCACGUGUGACGAGGCACUUUGUCAUAACUGGUGCCCUGAAGUGUGACCUCCGACUGGAGGGGUGGGCACGGUUGCUCCUCUGAGCAUGCAGGUGGGGGGGCAGGGACCUGGUGGGGGGGCCCAAGCCGUGUUAGUGGGGGCCUGGGGGCCUUUGAGCUGCUAGACCCAGGGAGGUGACGGAACUCACCACGUGGCUGGGUGGGGGGUGGGCUGGUUGUGUUGGAGAAAGAGCGGGGCCCUGCCCCUCCCCACACCCCAGAGGCUUCUUGGUGGCUUUUUAUUCAGGCAACGUUUUGCCCUCUGUUAGUCUCUAUUCUUUUGGGUGGGGGGACUUCCGCACACGUCAGCAGCAGGAGAGCCUUGGAAUUGGCUUCUCUGCCACCUGAACAGGAGACGCGGGGACGCAGGCCCUGAAAGCCUCACGGGUGUGGUGCAGACCACCGAGAAGAAGCCCGGCUCCAGCCAGGGCCUGGGCCAUGCGGGGCAGCCGAUGCCCGGGGCGGCGGUCUCCCGCCGGGAGCUGUUCUGCGGGGGGCUCCGUUCACGCGGACAGGUACGUCCGUGUGGUUGGUGCCCGAGGCUCUGACGCUGCCGAGAGAGAGGCAGGGGCGAGAACACGCUGCGGCGUGAGGCUGGGAAUUCGCACACACUCAGAACUUUGUACGUAUCUCCCGGCUCUGUUCCUGGACGCUCUGGGCGCGUGGAGCCUGUGGAAGGGGCCGUGUCCCCGCAGGGCUGGCCGCUGGCCGCUUGGACCCCCAGCAGAGCGCAGCCCUUGGCAGCGUGCGGGUGUGUCCCCUGUGACCCAGGGCCUGUCUUGGGUUCCCGCCGUGGACCCUGGGAGGAGCCUGCGCUGCGAGGUCAGCCCCGGGGCCGAGGCUCCAGAGAGGCCUGCCAGCACCCUGACGCUGUGGCCGCGGGUGGCAGGUGGGGUCUCGGCUUCCUCACGUGGCCGCUCCUCGCCUGGACGCUCACUGGUCUGGAGCCCGUCAUGUUCUCUUUGGUUUUAGCUGUGCCUGAGGCUCACGCACGCUCCAGGGACACCGCUCCAGAGACAGCGCUGGGUCCUUAACCCGCUGAGAUAUCAGGGAACUCCCCCUUCGCAUCUCUCAGAAUUGCUGCCCUGGAGGGUUGUGGCUGCUCAAGGUUUUACCAUGUCAGAGGUUAACAUGAAGAAACUUAAAAAAGUAUUCCUCCCCGGAGUUCCCACUGGGGUGCAGUGGGGUCAGCUGCGUCUUGGGAGCGCUGGGGGCAGGUUUGAUCCCUGGCCUGGCACAGC